ACACACACACACACAUACACACACUUAUAUAGAAUAAUGUACACACACACACACACACACUUAUAUAGAAUAAUGUACGCACACACACACACACACACACUUAUAUAGAAUAAUGUACACACACACACACACACACACUUAUAUAGAAUAAUGUAUUGAAAUAUUGCUAGAAAAGUGUAUUAAUGAGAAGUAAAGCAUUUGAUAUGAUUUGUAUUUAACUUUUUUAAUUUAUAUUAUAUAUAUUUUUACCUGAAUACAUUAUUGUCCAUAAUCAACUAACUUGUGUCAGCUUCAUGAUGUGGUUGUGCAGCUUUCCGUGAUCGAGAUCUUGGUCUUGCAUAAAUCUCAGCAACCACUGAAGUGUUUCUUCAAGAGGUUGCUUUGGGCAACUUGUCUGAUUUCCAGGAGUACAAUGGUGAUAAGUAAAGACUGCGCUGCAUUUACUGCAACAGUGAAGUGCGUGGGUGGAGAGGCCCACCUCAGACCUCCAGUAAGACCUGCACUCUUUGGAAGAGGAAAGAAAUCCAUCAACUCAGAAAUGCUACAGCAACUCAAGGGCUGAGAGUGAAAGAAGGCAAUAAUCUUGGAGUCACAAGCCUUCAUAGGGAAAAGGAACUACAAGAUGACAAGAUCUGCAUAAGAUCAAUUCUAAAGUCAGAGCUGUGUUGGAUUAGCAGGAGAGUGAAGAGAUGGAGCCUUUCAUUGCAGAAAAAAUAUUUUGUGGAGAGGCUGCUGAUGUCUAAUGGUUCUUUGUAUACAGCCAGUGGAUUCACCAUCAAAGACUCACCAGUUAAACUUUUCUGUAGCACUGAUAUAGGUAUAUCCAUAUAUUGUUAGGCAUGAAGGGCUUUGCAUGCAAUAAGUUAAACUAUUGGUUCAAUAACACUAGUCACAACAAAUUUUCUUUAUUCAGAUGAACCAAAAAACUCUUGUAAAACAUGAACCAAAUAAGUAUUUUGGCAAGGUUUAGAACCUGAGAUUAUUGCUUGUUUUCCUUUGGAAUCAGUGAAGGUUAUUUGGGUUCUCAGUUAUGCUAAUACACAAAGGGUGGAAAUACAAGCAAGAUAAAUACCUAAUAAUGUUGACCUGAAUUUAUAUUUAUUGUAAAAAACUGUGAAUAUCCAGCUUGCACUAACAUGUUUGGCAUUCAUUUCAUAUGGAUAGGAAAAAAAAUAAAUAAAUAAAAAUUAUAUAUAUAUAUUUUUUUUUAAUAGGCUUAAAUUCAGAUAUAAUUUACAGUAAUAGUCAAAAUAUGAAAUGUAACAAACAUGAUCAAAAUAGUAAACUUUUGAACUUCUGCCCAAAGAAAUCACAAUGAUGUUCAUGGUCAUUAUUUGUUACACUAUUUCAGGCGUCCUCUCCUGGAAAACCUGUGGCACCCACGAAGUUGGCACUGUGCACUUGUCAGGAAGAAGACAUCAAUUAGUGUUGUGUGUAAGCUUGGCAGUUUAGUUGUACUGUUGAGGAAACUCUAACCUGGUAUAAAAGCAUGAGUGAUGAAAGCUUUUUUUUUUCUCUCUAUCCAUGCAUU